AAUUGGUUUACGAUAUGUGUGCAUAUACCUGCUGAGGUGCUUAAAUUGCAACCAACAAUCCCGCCACCAUGUCCGUGCUCAUGAGCUCUGCUCUCUCUCGCAUUUUUCCUUCACCUCCUUUGCAUUACUACCCCAACAAAUCCAGCCCUAAUUUCAUUUCUUCAACUUCUUCUAGCACCAGAGGUACUGGAAAAACAAGAAGAUGGGUCCCUCGCACCUUCCUUAGGGUCUCAUCUUCCGACGAUCCCACGGUUGCUGUUGCUUCAGCUCCGACGAAAACAUCAACCGAUGCCGAUGACGAGGAUGUUAUAGAUUCUGCUGCGGACGUUGUGAGGAACUUCUACGCGGGGAUCAACGCCCGCGAUUUGGCCUCUGUGGAGGACCUCAUUGCCGACAAUUGCGUCUACGAGGACCUUAUCUUUCCUCGUCCUUUCGUUGGUCGCAAGGAAGUUCUGCAGUUCUUCAAAAAGUUCAUUGAUUCUAUCAGCAUGGACCUCCAAUUCGUUAUUGAUGAUUUGUCUAUUGAGGACUCCUCAGCAGUUGGGGUCACAUGGCAUUUAGAUUGGAAGAAGAGGCCCUUUCCUUUUAGCAAAGGAUGCAGUUUUUAUCGGUUGGAGGUCGUGGAUAAAAAGAGACGAAUAGUAUAUGGGCGAGAUAGUGUAGAACCUGCAAUCAAACCUGGGGAGACGGCUUUGCUCUUUUGCUCGACUCCACUGAGCAGGUGUUGAGAUUGCAUGAAUUUCAAGAUUGACUCUAAUGACAAAUACUUCCUUCCAGUAUCUGUUGCAAUCAGAGGUGUAACUUGGCUUCUGCAGAAAUUUCCUCAGCUGGCGGACCGGCUAUGAUAGAAGCCAUCAAUCUAUUUAUUGCUUCAUCUUUAGUAUAAGAAGUGAUUUAUUAUUUAACGUGCAUAUCAAAAUGUAGGUUCAAUUGUAUAGUUCUGCCCCUCCUGAAGAAAAAAGUCUCAAGUAAACGAUCAAUUGUGGGCAUGGCCUCCC